ACAUUUUUAUUUUUUUUACAUUACAGCAUGUAAACAAGUUCUAUUAGAAACACAAAAUACAAGUAUGAACCUGAAAAUGAUCACGAUAUGGGACCUUUAAUAGAAAAUUUUAUUUCUUCCCUGUCCAAUGAUGUAAACAUACCAAGCAGUAUCAGACGAGGAGUUUCAGGUAUGGAGAUUGUCCUCUCAAUGUCAGCUGCUGUGGCAGAUUCCUGGGACAAAGAAAGUGAAAUACAAAGUGUACUCUUGGUAAGAUGAGUCAUUAUAUAUAUAUAUAUGUAUAUAUAUAUAUAUACAUAUAUAUAUACAUACUGUAUACAUAAUAAGGAAAGGAAACUUACCUUGAGCCAUCAGAAGCUGGAUGACACAAAAUGACAGCUGGACAUCUUCCCCCUCACUGUAUUUGCUGAGUUUAAUAGAAUUGCCAGUAAGAAUCUUGAGGGAGUCUUUUUUGAGUCUCUGGACCAGCACACCCCACGUUUCAUUGAAGUCUUCAAGUCAAAAAAAGGAACUGCUGGACAGAAACUGACCGAGUUAAUGCAGCAAUUCAACCGGGUGACACCAGACGUUACCGCACUGCGCUCUGUUGUCCUCAAAGGCAUUUCCAUUGUAGUCGGCAAUGACUCCAGUGAUUUCUACAAGACAUGCGUUGAUACAGAGAGAGAUGAAGCCCUAGCAUCCCUCACAGUUGGUGUACUCACUGCUCUCAGUGAAGAUGGUCCUCAGCAGGGUCCAAACCCAAUGCACCUCCAGCCUAUCUCCACUGCCAUCGUACUUGAGGGCGGUAUUGUCAUGGACUAUUUUAAAGACUUGCCUCAGGCAGUAUGCCUGUUAUUUGGACUUACAUAUACUUUGCAUUUGGAUUACUCAAAAUGCAUGACAAAUACACUCAAAAUCACUCAAACAGUGAUGCUUUUACUGGGAAACAAAACCCUUCCACCAAAACUGCUAACUCUAAAAAAAAAAAGUCUACUGGGUUAGACUGUGAAGAGUUAAAACCAAGGACUGAUGUAGUGUUGAUUUUAUCCUAGGACUGAUGCUUGGUUUGGGACAUAAUGUUGUAAUUGUUUUAAAGGUUUUAAUGUAUUCAUUAUGUCAGAAUUGCAUCAGGUCUGUUUUGCUUUACCGGAUAGGUUCAGUCUUGUAGUUAACAGGUGCUUACAUGUUUAAUAUUGUGAGACACUUAAUGGUUAGUAUGUCUUCCUUUUCAAGUGCAAAUAAUUUACACAUACAAAUUUUACAUAAAGAUUUUAUUUUGCCUUGUCCAUUUGAUGCAAAUAUGCAAUCCACAUGUUCUGCAGUCCAGUAUCAAACCACAAAUUUGUUGUUUGAGUUGAUAUUUUAUACUUGAUUAUUACAUGGCUGUGUUGAAUACUCGAUUCUGAUUGGUCAAUCACGGCGUUCUGCAGUCUGUUAUUUCUGAAUAACAGACCGUUGCUAUGGGCGCAGCUCUGAUGUCAGACUCUGGAGGACCAUUUUCGUGACAAAUAAUAUUGAUUUCUUCAGUAAGUAGCCAUGUAAUAAGCGGGAUAAAGUACAGCUAGCGGCUCAUUGAUGUGAAAGAAUCCCCUUCAGGGCGAUGCUGCACGCAGACAUGAAAGGGGAUUCUUUCACAACAAUGACCGGCUCGCUGUUCAUUAUCCCUUACAUGUGCGAGAGAUUGAUAUUUAGGGACAGAAGACUAUUUGAGGCUGAACAAUAGACUAAAUUCAUAUUGCUAUUGCAAUAGUGUUAAAUACCUUACAAAGAUCACAGUAUGGACAGUUGGAUUGGAUAAUAAGAAAAUAGUUGGAUAAUAUAUACAAUAAUAUUGGACUCAUCAGCUAAAAUAAUGGCAAUAUCAUCUACUUGUUUAUUGUUCAGCCCAGAUCUGUCCAAUAUUCACUGUUUGUUGAAUGAUUUUUUGGCAUUUGAAAAAAAAUGUUGUAUUGCAGCUAAAUAAACCUAAUGAGUGUUCUCAAUGUAUUGUUUAUAGGGGAUUAUUAUAGUUUACACAAUGUGUGUAUAUAGCUAAAGGAUUUAAGUGUUGUAAUUGUUAUAGUAGAAUUCUUUCAGUUCAAGGAAAUUAGUUUGUUUAAUUUACAACGGGUAAAAUAAGUAUUGAACACAUCACCAUUUUUCUCAGUAAAUAUAUUUCCAAAGGUGCUAUUGAC